rnacentral:rRNA from 1 species
UACGUAGGGCGCAAGCGUUAUCCGGAAUUAUUGGGCGUAAAGAGCUCGUAGGCGGUUUGUCGCGUCUGCCGUGAAAGUCCGGGGCUCAACUCCGGAUCUGCGGUGGGUACGGGCAGACUAGAGUGAUGUAGGGGAGACUGGAAUUCCUGGUGUAGCGGUGAAAUGCGUAGAUAUCGUAAGGAAGACCAGUGGCGAAGGCGGGUCUCUGGAACGCAACUGACGCUGAGACGCGAAAGCGUGGGGAGCAAACAGG